GGUCUCUCUAACUCUUUUGCAGUAGCCUACAUUAUUAUUGCUGCGAUCAAAUGUAACAAAAUCACAUAAAAUCACAAUAUGACACAAACGUGUUUUUGCAAGCACGUUCGGCCUACAUUUUUCUAAUUUAUCUUCCUGUUCAAUUCAGUAGCUAUUUAAUCGGACCAGUUGUCCUGUGUUAUGCAUUAUUUAGCAGUUGUUGAGGAUAAACAAGGGGGUAUGUUUCUCCAAGUGCACACCCGUGGAAGCCAGGCAUUAUGGACUAGAGUGGAACAGGGUUGGAGGGCGUUUUUAAGUAGUACACAGCGGUUUUCAAGGAUACACGUUAGAAUGAACAACGACUGGGUAUCAUACCACAAAGGUGAAACACUGCGAGGGACGUUUGUGCCGUACCUUUCUGGAUCUUGAGAGGUUCAGUGACAUUGCUGGCAAUGGAGGCCUCACUGAGCCAUCGGAUUUCAUCAAAAAUAUCUUAAUUUGUGUCCCGAAGAUGAACGGAGGUCUUACGGGUGUAGAACGACAUGAGGGUGAUCGGGUUUCUCCUCUGGCCCAUCAGCUGAAUAGGUGGGGCUUGAUCAAUGGCAGGAAACUGAAGGAUCAAAUGUCAUAAAAUGGUGCCAGGCUGCGACAUGAAGGAAGGGGCUGUGAAACCGUACCCUCAUCAUCAGACUGUACAGUAGAGAGACAGAGUCACACUCCUGGUGUAAGCAGGGCAUAAAAACACUGCUGCAUGAUAAGGAGCUGCACAGGGACUUUGAACAUUUUAUUAGUAUCUAUAAAAGAGGCACAGGACGAAGGACACAGUGUCAAUAAAGCACUAAUGGAGGAUCAAUUAAGAUGGUCAAGCUGCAGAAAGAGACUUUUACAGUGUAGGGUUUUAACACUAACCUUGUCCUCUAACACUAACGCUAAAGCCACAAGGCUGGGAAAUUAAGCCUAGUUGCAAUUCCAGUGCAUCCCCAAUAUUUAAUGAUCAGGAACAGUAAAAAAGUUUGUUUGUUUGUAUAAGAAUAUAAAAACGAGGGGUGGAGAAUUCCUACCUGCUUUAGUACAGAAUAAAAAUGACUUAAUAUGCAGCUUUUACACACACACACACACACACACACACACACACACACACACACACACACACACACACACACACACAGUGUUGGGUUUCCAUGUUUUACGGGGACUUUCCAUAGAUAAUUAUUGUGAUACUGUAUAAACUGUAUAUUCUGUCCCCUAGCCCUACACACAACCCUCACAGAAAACUUUUUGCAUUUGUACAUUUUUUCAAAAAACUUCACUUAGUGUGAUUUAUAAACUGUUUUCCUCUUGUGGAGCAAAAAUGUCCCCACAAGGACAAGGAUUUUGGAUAUUUCCAUCUUUGUGGGGACAUUUUGUCACCAUAACAUAUGGUUUACCUGAACCAAACACACACACACACACACACACACACACACACACACACACACACACACACACACAGUUAGUUUAGAUUUGAACAUUUGCAUUUUAUUUAAUAAUAAAAAUUAUUUAACCUAAAUGUUAUUUCAUUUCCAUUAUUCUGAAAUACCUUUAAACACUUUAAAUGUUGUAUCAGAGAAAAAUUGGACAAAAAUAAAAAAAAAGAUUAAAUAAAUACAUCAAAAUAAAUCAAUGGACUGUUUCUAAAUUUUUUGUCAGAGCCGCAGUAGGCUACAUUGCUAAAUAAACAUUCAUGUUUUCACUGAAAGGUUCAAUGCUUAUAUCACUCUUCUGUGGUCACUGAACAGUACUGUUCCCUUCACG